CAGAAUAUUUUUGACCAAAUACCACAAUAUUGAUAUUGCGGCGAUAUUGUAGAGUUGUAAAUUGGUGCUUUAACAAAAUAUUUACAUAAUGAGAUUUUUGAAAAAGUAUCAGCAGUAAAGUGGAUAUAAUGGCUAAGUGGGUAAAGCUAAAUAAUAAAACAGUUACAACAGUAGA